UCUAAACAGUCACUGUCUGGAAAUGGUAUUCAGUGUAAUACUAAUGGAAAGACUGAGAUGAUGAAGUCUCAACUAGAUCCCUUCCAGAUAUCAGUGUCAGACACAAAUUGCACUACAGGUAUACAAAGCUUGGAGGCAUUUACACUGAGUUGAGGACACAAUACUUGUCUUUUCUUUGUUUCUUUGGACCUUUUUCUUCAGGGCAGAAAGAGUAAAAGCCAUGAGCUCUGAGGAGAACAACUGUGCCCUUCCCAACAACUAGUUUUGGAAUGAAGAAAUUGAUUAUAUAAACUCUCUGAUUUACAGGAACCAUAAGAACAGAGAAGUCCAGAUGCUUCUGAGAGGGUCCCAGCUCCUGAUUUGCAUAUGUGGAAGGCUCAGAUCAAGGCUAUCUGUUCAGCAAUACCAGUCAUCCCCUACCAAGGAGUCACUGAGUUUUCCCAAGCACACAUAUUACUUCCCUUUUUUAGACAAAGACAGAAUGGCAGUUUCCUUCUACCCAUUUCUGAUCUUUUCAUCCUCUUUGUUCUUACUCCCAAAUGGAUGUUUAUUCUGAAUUAGAUGCCUAUUACUGAACCCUAGAGGUACUGAAGGAAUACCUGAGAUGCAGAUGAAGUCAUGACAACAAUUGUGACAUCACAGAAGAAAAAUCUCUCCAGGUUACAAGAGAUUUUUCAGGCAAGGCCUAAUGAUGAUAUCACUGAGAACUGCCAUGGCCUACCUGCUGAACAGCUUUCCUUACAUUGACCAGAUUUGAGGGUGUCCUUUCCUGGAACCACUUGAAGCAGGGAAGUCCAGAUGCUUCUGACACGCUCCGAGCUCCGAGCUCCUGAUCCCAUGUGUGGAAGGCUCAGAUCAAUUCUAUCUCUUCAAGACAGGAGGGUAGCAUUAUUGUCCUCUGCAAGACUCAACGGAGCAGCCGACUGACACAGGUGCACAGACAUACGGCCAAAUAUCGAAUGGAGCUCAGUGAGUCUCACUGAAGGGCUGAGGGAAGGGCAGACAGAGACAG